CGGCGUUAUUUUCAGAUAACAGGGUGACCUGACAUUAGGUCUGCACUGGUCUUUGCAUCUUUAUCAGCUGUGUGGAGAGUUAAUUGUGUAGUCUGAGUGUUGGACACCGAGGCACAGUGGUGCUGUUGAGAUGAUUUGACGAAGCAUUCAUACCUGAGAUUUGUUGUUUGAAUUUGGAUCGACUGUUUCCAGCUCUGAAAGACGUUAUAAGGGAGAGCAGGCACGCCUGAAAAAAGGAGAGCGGUGCGGGACUCUCCGGGGAAGGGGUUCUCUCCGAGUCUGCAAAGUCAUCGUCCGGUGGAUAAAAGGAGUCAUCUGAGGCGAUGCUCCUGGUGUCUGGCAGGUCUGAGAAGUCGUCCAACUCCUCGAAGUCCUCGUCCAACUCGACCGAGCCGAGCACUGUUCCGGACAACCUAGAUUGGAGAUUCAAGGAUUUAUUUGGGUUACAUUUUCAAAUCACAUCACAAGAUAAGGAUAAAGAUGGCAAACACAAGACACGGUAACAAGGAACAAUAGUUUUUAAAUAUGUUGAGAUAUCACCACCUUGAGGACCAUUUGUACUGGAUUUUACUCGGGCUUCUCUGCACUGCAGAGGCUUGUAAAAUUUGAAGGUUGCACCAUUCCUCCUUGACAUUCUCUGAAAACAGGAAAAAACAAAGUUUCCAAUUAAGCGUCUACAAAUGUGUAACGUUUUUUUUGUUUGUUUGUUUUUAUCAUGACAGGAGAUGUUCUCUUUUACCUUCAUUAGCUUUAGGCUGGUCAUCAUUAGUCUAAACCACGUGCUGGUGACAUUUCGUUAUUCUUGCUUCUGUGUCUGUAAUACUGACACACUAACAUGCUUCCCAAACACUGUGUAUUUACAGGAACAGACUGAGAUACUGUUUCUAGGGGCACUAAUUCACAUUAGAGAAUUGUUUCAUCUCCUUGAAGAUCUGAGCUUCUUUAUGUAUAGAGAAGCAUAAACAUUUACUUUGCUUCUAUGUUUGUUGAGAGUUAAAAAGGGCCACCUUUUGUAUGUAUUACAAAAAAAAAAAAAUUUUUUAUAUUAUGUUUUAAAUGAGUUACUUUUGAUACUUUCAGACUAUCUAGUACACUGCUAGAACUGUGAAAAUCCAUGUCCAUUUUAUCCAUUUUUAGUUCAGUUAAAUACCUUAAAUUACAAGUGUCAGUUGUUGUUGUUGUUUUUUUUUUCAUUUGAUCCUUUAAAAGUGCUAGCAUCGACUUUCCUUACAAGCAGAACUGGUACAAAGCAGUUUCUGAUGUAUUGUCUUAAUGCCAAUUCAAUAGACUAAAAUAAUAUUUACUUAAAAGUUGUAAUAGUUACAAAGAUGUUGAUUUAUAACAUGUCAUACCAUUUGAAUCUGAAUCUGAUACAGCCAAAUAUAUAACUAUACUGUACGUAGACUGUUGACCAGUAUAAUUAUGAAGAUUAAUUGCCGGUCAUUAUAACAUGAUUUAUUCACCAUUUGUUAUAAAUGCCUUGUUGUUAAGUCUUAAUAGUGAAAUAAAGUGCUGAGCUUUUGAAUUGAGUUAAAAAUGUCUUAAACACAUGGGAUGAAAUAUUAUAUAUUUUAUAAUAUAAUAUAUUUUUUGAGUGCAACUCAGACAAUUGCUUGUUGGUACGCUGGUAAUGUAUGACAACAAAAACACAUCAAAAUGUAAGAAAACCAGCCACAGGACAAAACUUCUUUCAAGUGCAAUGAUAAUUUCUGGUAUUGUUUCUGCAGUUAUAGACUGAAAAUAGUAGUUCCGAUUUUUGUCUUUUAUUAGGCAAUUGAAAAACGACAUAAUCUUAUUGCAUUGUGUGAUGUUUUAAGGCACACGUAUAUGUACCUUUUCAAUUAUUUCAACAAUUGUUCUGAAUAUAGAGCAGGUUUUUUAUUUGGUUAAGAAAGAAACAACAAGGCUUUUUAAUUUCACAGGUGUAAAUUGUAACAAAAAGACUUGAAGGUGCCUCAAGCAACAAGUGUCAAAGCAAUUAAUUUUAUUCCUUAUCACUUGUCCUCCUAAAAGACCUCUCUGCCAACAAAAGUAAAACAGAAAAGAAACUGUCACCCUCAAAAAUGUGUCUAAUUCGUUUAAUAAAGCCUCUUAUUGCCA